UCAAGUCCCUUUCACCCUCUUCUUCAACGGCCCCAAUUCUUCAAAGCCUAAUUAAAAUUUCUAGAGUGAGAAUCUCUCACUUCUGCUUCUCUUCCAGCAACACCUUAGGUCAGAAUUUGAUUUCGAUGAAAAAGAAAGAGAGAAGAGAGAGAACACCUACCCCAAACGAGAUCAUGGGAGAGAAGACUCGUCGGAAUGUGAGAUUAAUAGUGAAUUCGAAACAGAGAGAGAAGAUGAUGCCGGCGGCGUAACUAAUCGAUGGAAGGCGAUUCGAACACUCCGGCCAACCCACCCAAGA
rnacentral:lncRNA from 1 species